rnacentral:rRNA from 1 species
UACGUAGGUGGCAAGCGUUGUCCGGAAUUAUUGGGCGUAAAGGGCGCGUAGGCGGCUUCGCAAGUGGAAGGUGAAAUCCCUCGGCUUAACCGAGGAACUGCCCUCCAAACUGCGUGGCUUGAGUCCGGGAGAGGUGAGUGGAAUUCCCAGUGUAGCGGUGAAAUGCGUAGAUAUUGGGAGGAACACCAGUGGCGAAGGCGGCUCACUGGACCGGAACUGACGCUGAGGCGCGAAAGCGUGGGGAGCAAACGGG